UCUCCGUUGGUGAACCAGCGGAGGGAUCAUUACCGAGUUUACAACUCCCAAACCCCUGUGAACAUACCAUUUGUUGCCUCGGCGGUGCCUGCUUCGGCAGCCCGCCAGAGGACCCAAACCCUUGAUUUUAUACAGUAUCUUCUGAGUAAAUGAUUAAAUAAAUCAAAACUUUCAACAACGGAUCUCCUGGUUCUG
rnacentral:misc_RNA from 1 species